rnacentral:rRNA from 1 species
CGCAUCUGUGCAUGCAGCAUAUCAAUAAGCGGAGGAAAAGAAACUAACAAGGAUUCCCUCAGUAACGGCGAGUGAAGCGGGAAGAGCUCAAAUUUGAAAUCUUCAGAGGUCUACCUUGCACGAAUUGUAGUUUAAAGAAGUGUUUUCUGUGACGAUCUGGUAAUAUAAGUUCUUUGGAAUAGGACAUCACAGAGGGUGAGAAUCCCGUCUAUGACAUUGCGAUUUGUCAGCUUUGUGAUACACUUUCAAAGAGUCGGGUUGUUUGGGAAUGCAGCCCAAAACGGGAGGUAAAUUUCUUCCUAAGGCUAAAUAUUGGCGAGAGACCGAUAGCGAACAAGUACCGUGAGGGAAAGAUGAAAAGAACUUUGAAAAGAGAGUUAAACAGUACGUGAAAUUGUCAAAAGGGAAGCGUUUGACACCAGUGUUGUUUUUCUGAAAAUCAAUUAAAGAACUGUUUAUGCUAAGUUGUUUAGACUUUAUCAGCUAACUGUUUAGUUUUGAGCUUUUCUUUAAUGCACUUUUCAGUUAACAAGUCAACAUCAAUUUCUUUUGCUGUAAAAAAGUUAAAGAAAGGUAGCUCAUGGCUCCGGUCGUGAGUGUUAUAGUCUUUUUCCUAUGCGGUAGGAGAGACUGAGGUCUGCAGUGUAGGCUAUUUGGCUAGAUACUCAGGUGCUAUGUGAUACCAUUUCAUAAACAACUUGUUGAUUAUGUUUUGUCUAUUGCAUACUCGCUUGUACUAUCAUACCUACGCUUAGGAUGUUGACGAUCAGCUGAGCGCG